rnacentral:rRNA from 1 species
AACGAACGCUGGCGGCAGGCUUAACACAUGCAAGUCGAACGCCCCGCAAGGGGAGUGGCAGACGGGUGAGUAACGCGUGGGAAUCUACCGAGCCCUGCGGGAUAGCUCCGGGAAACUGGAAUUAAUACCGCAUGCGCCCUACGGGGGAAAGAUUUAACGGGGUUUGAUGGGCCCGCGUUGGAUUAGCUAGUUGGUGGGGUAAAGGCCUACCAAGGCGACGAUCCAUAGCUGGUCUGAGAGGAUGAUCAGCCACAUUGGGACUGAGACACGGCCCAAACUCCUACGGGAGGCAGCAGUGGGGAAUAUUGGACAAUGGGCGCAAGCCUGAUCCAGCCAUGCCGCGUGAGUGAUGAAGGCCUUAGGGUUGUAAAGCUCUUUCACCGGAGAAGAUAAUGACGGUAUCCGGAGAAGAAGCCCCGGCUAACUUCGUGCCAGCCGCCGCUGUAAAAC